GCGAGGGGUCAAACAGCGCACUACGGCACGGGCUAGCGCACGAGCAACAACUGGCAGGCGCGCGCGCGGGCGGCCCGAGGCCAGGAGGAUGGGCCCCGGCCGUUUCUCUGUGGGAGGGCGCCCCAUCCCCGAAACAGCGGGCGCUUGCUACAGUCCGGUUAAGCACAGGGCCGAGUCCCCCUUUACUCUGCCCACUGACGCCUGGAGGCAAGUGCUGCCCUUCCUUCAAAGAGUAGAAUGACAUUUAUUGGAAAGCUGCAUAACAGUAUACUACCUGAAGAGAUGGAUGUAGCUCGAAAGCUUCUCUCUCACCCGCAGACAUUGGUCCAGUAAAACCUAUUACCUCACCCACCUUGUCUCUGUAAUACCCUGGGACCAAUACUGCAUAGUGUAACUACCUCUAUCCGUCUUGGCUCAGCAGUGGGAUUCUGAGGGCGCAGAGAUUGUUUUAGCUCAUGGAUGUAUUUAUUCCCCAAGGUUUAAAACAUCACUGUCAUGCUAAUAUUAUGCAAGCAGCUGCCCAUUCAGCAUCACCAUGCAAUGCAACUUAUGUAUUCAAAGCAUACAUACAUAAAUGUACAAGUGCAGAAUUCAAGAAAACAAGGUUUGCGCAAUCCGUGAUCAUAUUGAGAGGUUGAGUGUCUUCGAUCUAAUAGAGGGGGGUAUUCAACAUGGAAAUGAAUUUUUACUAGUGAUAAGGAUUGUUAGAAAACUGGGCCUUUUCGUAUAAUAUAGCUGUAAUUUAAGAGUUUUUAUAAAAUUUCAUAACAUCAGGGUGAUGCUACAACUUGGAUACAACUUCAAAUAGAGAAAAUGUGCUCUAGUUUAAAUCAGUCUGCCGUCUGUGAGCAUUACAGAAAUAAAUUUGCUUUCUAAAAUCGAGAAAAAAAAAAAACUAAGUACAAGAUGCAAAUUAGAAAUGCCCUAUGCUGACACAAACAUUCAAGCAAUAAGCACCCAAUACUUUAAAUUCUCUAUAAGGAAAGCUUUUAAUGUAUUCCUGCACAUAAAAUCUGAAGUAUAUUAAUAAAAUGUAGCAAAAGUU